rnacentral:tRNA from 1 species
GCUUGCCGCCGGCCGCUCGGAUCGGCUGGGGCGCAUCGUCGAGCGCUCGCCGCUCACCCGCGGGGUGGUGCGCCGGUUCGUGCCCGGCGACACGCUC